UACGGGGGGGGGGCAAGCGUUUGUUCGGAAUUACUGGGCGUAAAGGGCUCGUAGGCGGCCAACUAAGUCGGAUGUGAAAUCCCCAGGCUUAACCUGGGAACGGCAUCCGAUACUGGAGGGCUUGAAUUCGGGAGAGGGAUGCAGAAUUCCAGGUGUAGCGGUGAAAUGUGUAGAGAUCGGGAGGAACACCGGUGGCGAAGGCGGGGUCUCUGGGCAAUUCCUGACGCUGAGGCGCGAAAGCGUGGGGAGCAAACGGG
rnacentral:rRNA from 1 species